AGUGAAUAGAUACCCGGGUAGUCCUAGCCGUAAACGAUACUCGCUAGGUGUCGGCCACGGUGCGACCGUUGUCGGUGCCGUAGGGAAAGCCGUGAAGCGAGCCACCUGGGAAGUACGGCCGCAAGGCUGAAACUUAAAGGAAUUGGCGGGGGAGCACCACAACGGGUGGAGCUUGCGGUUUAAUUGGAUUCAACGCCGGAAAUCUUACCGGGACCGACAGCGAUAUGAAGGCCAGGCUGAAGACUUUGCCGGAUUAGCUGAGAGGUGGUGCAUGGCCGUCGUCAGUUCGUACUGUGAAAGCAUCCUGUUAAGUCAGGCAACGAGCGAGACCCACGCCCACAGUUGCCAGCGUACUCUCCGGAGUGACGGGUACACUGUGGGGACCGCCGCUGCUAAAGCGGAGGAAGGAAUGGGCAACGGUAGGUCAGUAUGCCCCGAAUAUCCCGGGCUACACGCGAGCUACAAUGGUUGGUACAAUGGGUAUCUACCCCGAGAGGGAAUGGCAAUCUCCUAAAUCCAAUCUUAGUUCGGAUUGAGGGCUGCAACUCG
rnacentral:rRNA from 1 species